UUCUCCCUGAAACGGUUAAUUGGCAUCACCCUUAGGGAGGACAUCCUGAAUAAACAGGACAUGAGAAAUGUUCCACACGAUAAAAAUGUGUUUGUUUUUGGGCUGUACGUCACAUGCCCCGGACAAGAGCACAUACUGGCCUAAACUCUCCCGGAUCAAUGGUGGAAAUCACUGCCAUGAGCACGGACACGUAUAAGACUAGGGAUAACAAUGGGGAAACAAGCAGUUAAAGUAAAUAAGUUAAUAUGUCUAUUCUACCAGCUACUGGGGCCCCUUAGGGUUCUGAGGUUCACUGUGUAGAGUGGGUAAUACAACCCCAAACCCCAAACUGGGGGGAUACCUGCCAUCUAAAUGCAUUUGUAUUUGCUGCUGUAGUUUUCAUGCAGUUUUAGCCUUUUAGUUUGUGAAGUAAACGUUGCACCUACACAGCUCAUGAUCAACAUUACACACAUAAACAAACAUAAAGUUACUUCAGUGACGUAUGCAACACAUAAACCCAAAAGUCAGUUUAUUGUUCGGCUGCAUAACUCGAAAUCGACUUCACUUAUAUCACUUCACUUAUAUCAACUCCAUAUUUUCUGAAACCAUCUAUCAUACCAUUUAGCCUAUUAGAAGUUAUAAAUGUAUACAUUCCAAGGAAGGAGGUAAGCUAGUGUACUAUCAUACAAAUACUGGAAAAUUAAGUAAAAACGUUUCUGUACAAAGUUGCAUAUUACAAUACACUAUGAGUAGUAAAUAUUGUAUAGUUAGCCAGAUAUUACUUUAUACAGCUAUGUCUACGUAUUUCUUAUGCAUCCGUGUGCAUAAACUAAUAUUUACAUAACAUGGUUAAAGUGUACAUGUAAUUAUAUAUAAAAACACAUACUAUUAUCAAAUUAUGCACCGUGUUGUAUAUUACUACAUCAUACAUAGCUGACAAUUGUCCAUUAACUUUUUUGUAUCUAAACUAGUCUACCACCUCAUUCAUAAAGGCCUCAUAACCCAGUUCGGCCUUAUCAGAAGUCUGCGUAAACAGUGGGAAAUCCGCUAACGUCAGCUACGAUAACGACAACGACACGACAGCGGAUGGACGGUGGUUACUAGCUGCUUUCGGUUAUGGGCUAGUUUUAUUUACACACAGUAAAGCUGGUAAAAUGUUACAAAAUAUGUCCUAUUACGUAGAAGCGACGAGAAUCGAGGGUGGAAAUGAUGAGGUGGCUCUACUACAUAAUCCAGCUACCAUAAGCGAGUUCUACUUCCCAUUCACUUCACGUUAACAAACUUACCUCCUGAUAAUACCGCAGGACCACAAGCUUGACUGACAGGAAUGAAAGAACCUAAAACCUACCCUAACCCACAUGUCUUUGCUCCAACAUGGACCAUGACCAUUGGAUCCACCCCCUCUUUUGGCAGGACCUCAUAUGCUCUUGGAGAUCUACUACCUGGAACCUAGAGCACAUUUCACAUGGUGCUACUCACUGGAUAUAAAUCAUAGCAUACUUCAUUACUUUGAAUAUGAAUUAUUGCACAUUUGUUUUAUUUAUUCAUAUUUAUUUAUUUCAUAGCCCUUACUGUUCUUGCUGGUUUGUCAGUUAUAGGUGGCACAUUUAACUGUGUAUUAUAUCUGUCUUCAGCAGCUUUGUAUGUAUUUUUAUUUAUGAAAUUAAUCAAGUCAAAUCAAAUCAUUGUCAAUCAGUUCUUUAGAGUUAACUAUUAAAUCAUCACUAUGUUUGUGUUCCCUGACUGAAAAAACCCACAGCAACGCCAAGCUUAAACAGUGCAAAUCUAAGGUAAAAUAUUCGGCCAAAGUCUGUUAAAAGCAAACGUUUCGUUUUGUGGUAAAUAUUGCACAGAAUAAAAACCUGGCAAGAGAGGAAUGGUGGGGUGGACCAUUAGAUAGAACUGAUCAUUUAGUUUAUUUAUAUCUUGGUUUUAUCUUUUUCUUUAGUUUCUUUUUUUUUCACACUAAUUUGUACGUAAUUGAUUUGGUUAUUUUUGAGGUUAAAACAGCUUUCUAUGCCUCUAUCUUUGUAUUUGAAUUAAGUAUUAUUUGUCGCAUUUAAAAGAAGGGUGUUUUACUGGAAGAAUUUGUAAACCAAUAAAAGAUACAGCUUGUGGUAGACAUGGCCAAUGGACUUAAAGCUUG